UGGCCUGUAGGCCAAAUCCUGCCUGCCACCUGUUUUUAUAUUACACUUAGGUUCAAAUGGUUUUUAGAUUUUUAACUAGUUGGGGGGCCGGGGGCGGGAAGGAAUGAGGAAUAAUAUUUCAUGACACAUGAAAAUUAUAUGAAAUUCAAAUUUCAGUGUCCAUAAUAAAGUUGUAUGGGAACCUGGCCACGUUCAUUCAUUUAUGUCCUGUCUCUGGCUACUUUCAUGCUACAAGAGCAGAGUUAAGUAUUUGUGACAAAGGCCAUAUGGCCCCCAAAGCCUAUAUUUUCAUUCCCUGGCCCUUUGCAGAAAAAUGUGCUGAGCUUUGAAAUAAACAAAACUUCAGCAGAAUUGCCAGAAAGAGAGAUGUGAGUGAAAGAGAAAGAAGUCGAGAUGCACAACACAUAUUUUAAAAGACCAUGCAUGCAAAUGCAAAAGAGAUGUUAAACAUUAUAGGUCUCUUUGAAAGUAAAUUUGAAGGUAACAAUUAAACAAAUUGUUUUCUAGGAAAACACGUAUUACUAAAACAUUAUCAGGAGGAAGAAGAAUAUCUGAAUAACUUGCUAACAAGGGAAGAAAUAUUUAAAGUUGUAGAGAUAUACAUCCUUCCUUUCAAAAUGGCCCUGUGUAUUAAUAUUUCACAAGCAAGUUGCCCACAGAUGAAAUAAUUUCUAUUUUAUUUAACUGUUUUGAAGCAUAAAUUAGACAAGAAUCUUUUAGAUUCAUUUCCCAAAAUUAGUAUAAUCCUGAUUGAUAUCAACAUGUGAAGACCAUUGCAUAAUAAAUGAUAUAAAAUUCCUGAAAAAUGGUCAUAUUUAAAAUAGCCAUAAAAUUAAAGAAUGAUGUGAUUUGAACAACUAGUGUUUUUUCUAAAAAUGUGAGAAUGUUUUAACAUUAAGAUAUUUAUUUGGAUGUUUGAGUAUAGGGAAAAAGUCAAACUAUUACCUCAAUAUUUGCCAAUAAUAUAUUUGAUACAAUUGAACAUUUAUUCUUGACAGAAAUUAAAUGAAAAGGGAAUUAAUAUCUAUUUCUAAUAUAAUAAAGUCUAACUCAACUGCCAAUAUUUGCACAAACUUGAAACACUAUAAACAUUUCCAUUUAAGUAAGACAAAAUAUAUUAGCUUUAUAUUAAUCAUCAUUUUCCUGGAAGUGCAAUUCGAUAAAAUAUUAGAAAGUCAGUAGAGGAUCUAUCAUUAUUUGCUGAUAUUAUUGUGUUCUAUUGGAAAAUCUAAGAGUCAACUGAAAAAUGAUGAGAUACACUGUGAAUGUCUUCCUUCCUUCCUUGCUUUCUCCCAGGCUGGCACCAGAUGUCCCAGUAGGGAGGUAGUAUGGUCACAAACUGGCAAGACUACUGGAGUCCAGGCAAGGUGAAGGUGGUAUCCAUGCAGUGCAGGGAUCAUGAAAGCCUGUCAUAGAGUGAAGAAGACUUCCCACUGCAGUGCCUCUAGAGCUCAUUGAGCAUCUCCAAACCUUUGGAGGGCAUCUACACAGAGAAGGAAUGGCAACCUGUUUUAAUUUUUGACAAAGGCAUCUACAUAGUGUAGGGAAAAGAUUUAGAGGUAGAGCAGUGAAAGAGAUUGGUUAAAUAUAAGGAUGUUAAAUGAAUAAUAAAAUAUGUGGAGGAUAUUGGAAGCCAGCAUCCUAUUGUCAGAGAAAGGAGUUAUAAGUAUGAAAAGGAAGAAAAUUUAAAUAAACCCUCUGUUGCUGGACUGAAAUUGGAGGAAGUGAGUGUGAAUCAUGGUCUUCAGUGUGUAGAUAAGCAGAUAUAGAAAGAAGUAUGGAUUUCAAUGGUGUGUGUGUAUGUCUGUGUUGAUGUAUAUAUGUUCCUUGCCACUGUUCCCUGAGAACAUCUUCAUGCAGCAACACUUCCAUAGCAAGAUGAAUCUGAACAUCACCAUAUGAUAGCAACUUAUAACCCCAUUGACUAAUGAAUCUAUAGAGGUAUAAAAAUAAAAAGAAAUAAAUGGAGAAAACAAUCUCUUCCUUAAAGUAAAAUGCCAACAGAUACACAUAGGAGGAACAAUACCAUUAGAAAAGUCAUCAUUGGCCAUAAUAAGGAAAAUAAACAAGUCAAGAAAC
rnacentral:lncRNA from 1 species